rfam:Gossypium arboreum cultivar AKA8401 contig_22120_1, whole genome shotgun sequence.
AACCCAUGGUAAGGGCACCUUCUCAAUAAAUCCUUAUACCUCUCUCAUGCAUUGAAUAGCGUCUUUAAGUCCAUUUGUACAAAGAAAGAGAUAUCAUUCCUCAACUU